GGACUACAGGGGUUUCUAAUCCCGUUUGCUCCCCUGGCUUUCGCGCCUCAGCGUCAGAAGAGGUCCAGCAGCUCGCUUUCGCCACCGGCGUUCCUUCCGAUAUCAACGCAUUUCACCGCUCCACCGGAAGUUCCAGCUGCCCCUACCUCGCUCGAGACCACCAGUAUCCAAGGCUAUUUUCCGGUUGAGCCGAAAGAUUUCACCCCGGACUUGGUGACCCGCCUACGCGCCCUUUAAGCCCAGUGAUUCCGAACAACGUUCGCACGGUUCGUCUUACCGCGGCGGCUGGCAC
rnacentral:rRNA from 1 species